ACGUAGGUGGCAAACGUUGUCCGGAAUUAUUGGGCGUAAAGCGCGCGCAGGCGGUCCUUUAAGUCUGAUGUGAAAGCCCACGGCUCAACCGUGGAGGGUCAUUGGAAACUGGGGGACUUGAGUACAGAAGAGGAAAGCGGAAUUCCAAGUGUAGCGGUGAAAUGCGUAGAGAUUUGGAGGAACACCAGUGGCGAAGGCGGCUUUCUGGUCUGUAACUGACGCUGAGGCGCGAAAGCGUGGGGAGCAAACAGGAUUAGAUACCCUGGUAGUCCACGCCGUAAACGAUGAGUGCUAAGUGUUAGGGGGUUUCCGCCCCUUAGUGCUGCAGCUAACGCAUUAAGCACUCCGCCUGGGGAGUACGGCCGCAAGGCUG
rnacentral:rRNA from 1 species